GACGAACGCUGGCGGCGUGCUUAACACAUGCAAGUCGAACGGGCUAUACCAUGGAGCUUGCUCCGAGGUAUAGCUAGUGGCGGACGGGUGCGUAACGCGUGAACAAUCUGUCCCUGCGAGGGGAAUAACACUUAGAAAUAGGUGCUAAUACCGCAUAAGACCACGGUGUCGCAUGGCAUUGAGGUAAAAAGAGCAAUCUGCGCAGGGGUGAGUUCGCGUCCCAUUAGCUAGUUGGUGAGGUAACGGCCCACCAAGGCGACGAUGGGUAGCCGAUCUGAGAGGAUGACCGGCCACACUGGAACUGAGAAACGGUCCAGACUCCUACGGGAGGCAGCAGUGGGGAAUAUUGGGCAAUGGGCGAAAGCCUGACCCAGCAACGCCGCGUGAGGGAAGAAGGUUUUCGGAUCGUAAACCUCUGUCGCAGGGGACGAAACAAAUGACGGUACCCUGUGAGGAAGCUCCGGCUAACUACGUGCCAGCAGCCGCGGUAAUACGUAGGGAGCGAGCGUUGUCCGGAAUGACUGGGCGUAAAGGGCGCGUAGGUGGCCAGAUAAGUUAGGAGUGAAAGUCCUGCUUUCAAGGUGGGAAUUGCUUUUAAUACUGUAUGGCUUGAGUGUGGGAGAGGAUAGCGGAAUUCCCGGUGUAGCGGUGAAAUGCGUAGAGAUCGGGAGGAACACCAGUGGCGAAGGCGGCUAUCUGGACCAAGACUGACACUGAGGCGCGAAAGCGUGGGGAGCAAACAGGAUUAGAUACCCUGGUAGUCCACGCUGUAAACGAUGGAUGCUAGGUGUAGGAGGUAUCGACCCCUUCUGUGCCGCAGUUAACACAAUAAGCAUCCCGCCUGGGGAGUACGGCCGCAAGGUUGAAACUCAAAGGAAUUGACGGGGGCCCGCACAAGCAGCGGAGCAUGUGGUUUAAUUCGAAGCAACGCGAAGAACCUUACCAGGUCUUGACAUCGAUGUAAACCAGAAGAGAUUCUGGGUGCCUUCGGGCAACAGAAGACAGGUGGUGCAUGGUUGUCGUCAGCUCGUGUCGUGAGAUGUUGGGUUAAGUCCCGCAACGAGCGCAACCCUUGCGAUUGGUUGCUAACAGGUAAAGCUGAGAACUCCAGUAGGACUGCCGGGGACAACUCGGAGGAAGGUGGGGACGACGUCAAAUCAUCAUGCCCCUUAUGACCUGGGCUACACACGUGCUACAAUGGCCACUACAAAGAGAGGCGAAGUCGUAAGGCGGAGCAGAUCUGCAAAAAGUGGUCUCAGUUCAGAUUGAGGGCUGCAACCCGCCCUCAUGAAGUCGGAGUUGCUAGUAAUCGCGAAUCAGCAUGUCGCGGUGAAUACGUUCCCGGGCCUUGUACACACCGCCCGUCACACCAUGGGAGUUGGGAGCACCCGAAGUCGGUGAGGUAACCGUAAGGAGCCAGCCGCCGAAGGUGAGACCAAUGACUGGGGUG
rnacentral:rRNA from 1 species